CCCGGCGACCGGCGCACGGGUGAGUAACACGUAUGAAACCUGCCCGUAGCAGGGGGAUAAGCGGAAGAAAUUCCGUCUAAUACCGCGUAACAACCCAUGGAGGCAUCUCUGUGGGUUUAAAGGAAGCGAUUCCGGCUACGGAUGGUCAUGCGUCGCAUUAGCUUGUUGGCGGGGUAACGGCCCACCAAGGCGACGAUGCGUAGGGGUUCUGAGAGGAAGGUCCCCCACACUGGUACUGAGACACGGACCAGACUCCUACGGGAGGCAGCAG
rnacentral:rRNA from 1 species